UACAGAGGUCCCAAGCGUUGUUCGGAUUCACUGGGCGUAAAGGGUGCGUAGGUGGUCGGGUAAGUCUGAUGUGAAAUCUCCGAGCUCAACUCGGAAAUGGCAUUGGAUACUACUUGGCUAGAGGGUUGGAGGGGGGACUGGAAUACUUGGUGUAGCAGUGAAAUGCGUAGAUAUCAAGUGGAACACCAGUGGCGAAGGCGACUUCCUGGCCUGUUCUUGACGCUGAGGCGCGAAAGCUAGGGGAGCAAACGGG
rnacentral:rRNA from 1 species